rnacentral:rRNA from 1 species
GAUGAACGCUAGCGGCAGGCCUAAUACAUGCAAGUCGAGGGGCAGCAGGGAUAGCAAUAUUCGCUGGCGACCGGCGCACGGGUGCGUAACACGUAUACAAUCUGCCUUUAACAGGGGGAUAGCCCGGAGAAAUCCGGAUUAAUACCCCAUAACAAUGAAAUCAGCAUUGAUUUUAUUUAAAAGCUCCGGCGGUUAGAGAUGAGUAUGCGUCUGAUUAGCUAGAUGGUGAGGUAACGGCUCACCAUGGCGACGAUCAGUAGGGGAUCUGAGAGGAUUAACCCCCA